rnacentral:SRP_RNA from 2 species
CCGAAGGCUAGGCCGGGGAAUCAGUCCUUCCCUGUAACUGUAAACGGACUUCACGACAGGGCUGAACGUGGGGGGAAGGGGCGUGCCUUAUGCGCAGGGCUUGGGCUCUACUGUGAGAUUCUGUCCAGCAGGACUGUUGCCCUGGGAACCGUGUCAGAUCCGGAAGGAAGCAGCACUAACCUGGACAGUCGGUGCUUGUUGGGUAGCAGGGUUGAGGCAAGCUCAAGAAAAACUUGCGUAUAAUUCAUGUUUCGACCCUCCAAUGCCUUCAC